rnacentral:rRNA from 1 species
AUUGAACGCUGGCGGCAUGCUUUACACAUGCAAGUCGAACGGCAGCGCGGGGCAACCUGGCGGCGAGUGGCGAACGGGUGAGUAAUACAUCGGAACGUACCCAGAAGUGGGGGAUAACGUAGCGAAAGUUACGCUAAUACCGCAUACGUUCUACGGAGGAAAGUGGGGGACCUUCGGGCCUCAUGCUUUUGGAGCGGCCGAUGUCUGAUUAGCUAGUUGGUGAGGUAAAGGCUCACCAAGGCGACGAUCAGUAGCUGGUCUGAGAGGACGACCAGCCACACUGGGACUGAGACACGGCCCAGACUCCUACGGGAGGCAGCAGUGGGGAAUUUUGGACAAUGGGCGCAAGCCUGAUCCAGCAAUGCCGCGUGAGUGAAGAAGGCCUUCGGGUUGUAAAGCUCUUUUGUCAGGGAAGAAACGGCUGAGGAUAAUACCUUCGGCUAAUGACGGUACCUGGAGAAUAAGCACCGGCUAACUACGUGCCAGCCGCCGCGGUAAUAC